UACAGAGGGGGCAAGCGUUAUUCGGAAUUACUGGGCGUAAAGGGCGUGUAGGCGGCACUGCAAGUCGACUGUGAAAUCUCCGGGCUUAACCCGGAAAGGUCAGCCGAUACUGCGGGGCUAGAGUGCAGAAGGGGCAACUGGAAUUCUCGGUGUAGCGGUGAAAUGCGUAGAUAUCGAGAGGAACACCUGCGGCGAAGGCGGGUUGCUGGGCUGACACUGACGCUGAUGCGCGAAAGCUAGGGGAGCGAACGGG
rnacentral:rRNA from 1 species